GACGAACGCUGGCGGCGUGCCUAAUACAUGCAAGUCGAGCGGAUGACGGAGGAGCUUGCUCCUCCUGAUUCAGCGGCGGACGGGUGAGUAACACGUGGGCAACCUGCCCUGUAGAUUGGGAUAACUCCGGGAAACCGGGGCUAAUACCGAAUAAUCCUUCGGACCUCAUGGUCCGAUGUUGAAAGACGGCAUCUCGCUGUCACUACAGGAUGGGCCCGCGGCGCAUUAGCUAGUUGGUGAGGUAACGGCUCACCAAGGCCACGAUGCGUAGCCGACCUGAGAGGGUGAUCGGCCGCACUGGGACUGAGACACGGCCCAGACUCCUACGGGAGGCAGCAGUAGGGAAUCUUCCACAAUGGACGAAAGUCUGAUGGAGCAACGCCGCGUGGGUGAAGAAGGUUCUCGGAUCGUAAAACUCUGUUGUGAGGGAAGAACAAGUACCGGAGUAACUGCCGGUGCCUUGACGGUACCUCAUUAGAAAGCCACGGCUAACUACGUGCCAGCCGCCGCCGUAACAC
rnacentral:rRNA from 1 species